rnacentral:rRNA from 1 species
GCCAGCAGCAUACCACCCUGCAUUCCACUGCUGGCUUGCUUCUGAAGCUAAGCAGGGUUGGUCCAGGUCAGACCCUGGAAGAGAGACCAGAUGCUGCUGGAA